rnacentral:rRNA from 1 species
UACGAAGGGGGCUAGCGUUGCUCGGAAUCACUGGGCGUAAAGCGCACGUAGGCGGAUUGCUAAGUCAGGGGUGAAAUCCUGGAGCUCAACUCCAGAACUGCCUUUGAUACUGGUGAUCUUGAGUCCGGGAGAGGUGAGUGGAACUGCGAGUGUAGAGGUGAAAUUCGUAGAUAUUCGCAAGAACACCAGUGGCGAAGGCGGCUCACUGGUCCAUUCUGACGCUGAGGUGC